GCCUUUCUGAGCAGGAAGCGAGUCGCUCGCUGCCCCCGGGUGCGGGCGCGCAGGACCAGCAGCUGCCCCCAGCCACGGGCGCGCCACCUGUUUCCGCCUGGGACUUCCCCCAGCCGGCUCCGAAGUGUGGAGUCAGCAGCUUGGCCUGGCCCGGCAUCAGGGGCCCAGCGCAGCCCUACCCCACCGCCGCCUCCCGUGAGGCCCCGCCUGGAAGAGGCGUGGACUGCACCCUGGUGCGCGCGUUCUGGGCUUGGCCUUGAAAAUCAGGAUGGCGAUGACCGCUGAGCAGUAACCAUCUGAGAUGCUUCUGACAUUGUCACGCCACUCCUAAAUACCUGUAUCUCCUAUGAACAAAAUGCAGUCCACUGACACAGUCAUCAAGAAAUGGCAGAGAAAGAAAGAAUCUGGAUUUCCAAGGUGUGGUGGUGGUGUACACCUGUAAUCCCAGCUACUCAGAAGGCUGAAGUAGGAGGAUCUGCAAUUUGAAGGGGAAGGACAACUGGUUUUACAAACUGCCUCUGCAAACAAAGCAACCAAAGCCUGGAAUUUGAACUUGCUUACUUAGAAGCCUCUACAAAUCCCAGAAUAUGAAAACUGCCUGUCCAUUUGGUUGGGGGGUU
rnacentral:lncRNA from 1 species